rnacentral:rRNA from 1 species
GUGGGGAAUAUUGGACAAUGGGCGAAAGCCUGAUCCAGCCAUGCCGCGUGUGUGAAGAAGGUCUUCGGAUUGUAAAGCACUUUAAGUUGGGAGGAAGGGCAGUAAGUUAAUACCUUGCUGUUUUGACGUUACCGACAGAAUAAGCACCGGCUAACUUCGUGCCAGCAGCCGCGGUAAUACGAAGGGUGCAAGCGUUAAUCGGAAUUACUGGGCGUAAAGCGCGCGUAGGUGGGUUUGUAAGUUGGAGGUGAAAUCCCCGGGCUCAACCUGGGAACUGCCUCCAAAACUGCAUGACUAGAGUACGGUAGAGGGUAGUGGAAUUUCCUGUGUAGCGGUGAAAUGCGUAGAUAUAGGAAGGAACACCAGUGGCGAAGGCGACUACCUGGACUGAUACUGACACUGAGGUGCGAAAGCGUGGGGAGCAAACAGGAUUAGAAACCCUGGUAGUCC